AUUGAACGCUGGCGGCAUGCCUUACACAUGCAAGUCGAACGGCAGCACGGGUGCUUGCACCUGGUGGCGAGUGGCGAACGGGUGAGUAAUACAUCGGAACGUACCUUAUCGUGGGGGAUAACGCAGCGAAAGCUGUGCUAAUACCGCAUACGCCCUGAGGGGGAAAGCGGGGGAUCGAAAGACCUCGCGCGACUAGAGCGGCCGAUGCCUGAUUAGCUUGUUGGUGGGGUAAAAGCCCACCAAGGCGACGAUCAGUAGCUGGUCUGAGAGGAGGAUCGGCCACAAUGGGACUGAGACACGGCCCAGAGUCCUAGGGGAGGUAGCAGUGGGGAAUUUGGGACAAUGGGGGCAACCCUGAUCCAGAAAUGCCGCGUGAGUGAAGAAGGCCUUCGGGUUGUAAAGCUCUUUUGUCAGGGAAGAAACACCGGCUCUAACACAGUCCGGGAAUGACGGUACCUGAAGAAUAAGCACCGGCUAACUACGUGCCAGCCGCCGCCGUAA
rnacentral:rRNA from 1 species